AUACGAAGGGUGCAAGCGUUACUCGGAAUUACUGGGCGUAAAGCGUGCGUAGGCGGUUUGUUAAGUCUGUCGUGAAAGCCCCGGGCUCAACCUGGGAAUGGCGAUGGAUACUGGCAAGCUAGAGUGUGUCAGAGGGUGGUGGAAUUCCCGGUGUAGCGGUGAAAUGCGUAGAGAUCGGGAGGAACAUCAGUGGCGAAGGCGGCCACCUGGGACAACACUGACGCUGAGGCACGAAAGCGUGGGGAGC
rnacentral:rRNA from 1 species